AGUGAACGCUGGCGGCGUGCCUAAUACAUGCAAGUCGAACGGAGUGGCGCACGGGUGAGUAAUGUAUAGCUAAUCUGCCCGACACUAGAGGACAACAGGUGGAAAAGACUUCUAAUACUCUAUAGUGUAGGAUGAGGCUAUAUUGGAUCAUCUAGUUGGUGAGGUAAUGGCUCACUAAGGAUAUGCCGCAUAACUGGGCAGAGAGGAUGAUGAGUCGAAUGGGAACUGAGGCACGGUCCAGAAUCCUACGGGAGGGAGCAGUAGUGAAAAUGGGUCAAGGGGGGAAACCCGGAAGCAGCAACGCCGCGUGGAGCAUGACACUUUUCGGAGCGUAAACACCUUUUGUUAGGGAAGCGGUACCUAACGAAUAAGCACCGGCUAACUCCGUGCCAGCAGCCGCGGUAAUUC
rnacentral:rRNA from 1 species